rnacentral:rRNA from 1 species
AGAGUUUGAUCCUGGCUCAGAACGAACGCUGGCGGCGUGCUUAACACAUGCAAGUCGAGUGCGCGGUUGUAGCAAUACAACUGGCGCACGGCGCACGGGUGCGUAACACGUGGGCAAUCUGCCCUUCGAUGGGGAAUAUCUUCGGGAAACCGAAGCGAAUUCCGCAUAACAUUCCUUGGACUUCGGUUCGAGGACUCAAAGCCGCAAGGCGUCGAAGGAGGAGCCCGCGCCCGAUUAGCUAGUUGGUAGGGUAACGGCCUACCAAGGCAAUGAUCGGUAGCUGGUCUGAGAGGAUGGCCAGCCACACUGGAACUGAGACACGGUCCAGACUCCUACGGGAGGCAGCAGUGGGGAAUCUUGCACAAUGGGCGAAAGCCUGAUGCAGCGACGCCGCGUGGGGGAUGAAGCAUCUCGGUGUGUAAACCCCUUUCGACCCGGAAGAAUGCCUCGCAAGAGGACUGACGGUACGGGUAUAAGAAGCCCCGGCUAACUACGUGCCAGCAGCCGCGGUAAGACGUAGGGGGCCAGCGUUGUUCGGAAUUACUGGGUGUAAAGGGUUCGUAGGCGGUGCGGCAAGUUGGGAGUGAAAUCUCUGGGCUCAACCCAGAGGCUGCUUCCAAAACUGCUGUGCUUGAGUGUGGGAGAGGCGCGUGGAAUUGCAGGUGUAGCGGUGAAAUGCGUAGAUAUCUGCAGGAACACCCGUGGCGAAAGCGGCNNGCUGGACCCUACUGACGCUGAGGAACGAAACGGGGAGCAAACAGGAUUAGAUACCCUAGUAGUCC